rnacentral:rRNA from 1 species
GCGGGCUGGAACCUCUCGGGGUUACAGCCUUGCUGAAUUAUUCACCCUUGUCUUUUGCGUACUUCUUGUUUCCUUGGUGGGUUCGCCCACCACUAGGACAAACAUAAACCUUUUGUAAUUGCAAUCAGCGUCAGUAACAAAUUAAUAAUUACAACUUUCAACAACGGAUCUCUUGGUUCUGGCAUCGAUGAAGAACGCAGCGAAAUGCGAUAAGUAGUGUGAAUUGCAGAAUUCAGUGAAUCAUCGAAUCUUUGAACGCACAUUGCGCCCUUUGGUAUUCCAAAGGGCAUGCCUGUUCGAGCGUCAUUUGUACCCUCAAGCUUUGCUUGGUGUUGGGCGUCUUGUCUCUAGCUUUGCUGGAGACUCGCCUUAAAGUAAUUGGCAGCCGGCCUACUGGUUUCGGAGCGCAGCACAAGUCGCACUCUCUAUCAGCAAAGGUCUAGCAUCCAUUAAGCCUUUUUUUCAACUUUUGACCUCGGAUCAGGUAG